rnacentral:rRNA from 1 species
UCCGGUGACAAUAGCGUAGAGGUCACACCCGUUCCCAUCCCGAACACGGAAGUUAAGCUCUACCGCGCCGAUGGUACUGCCGAGGACACUUGGUGGGAGAGUAGGUCAUCGCCGGAG